rnacentral:lncRNA from 1 species
GGGCGCGAGGCCCGGGUGGGCCAGAGAGGCAGGUCCUCGUCCCUCGGGCCCGUGGCGCUGUCGUGGAUGAACCCUCUCUUUGGGUCUGUAUUGGGACCCCUUUCCAGUACCAUUUUUUCUAGUGAACCACGAAGGGACGAUACCAGAAAACACCCUCAACCCAAAGGAAAUAGACUACAGCCCCAAUUGGCUGACUUUGGCUAUAGAAAAAAGAAAGGAACGAAAAGAGACAGUUUUUUUUGGAAAGCUAAGUCUUCCCUUUAUCGAG